GAGGACUCGCGAGGGUGGAGGAGGAGGAAAGAGGCGCAGCGGUCGAGUGGGGAGCAAGAAGCGCCCCAGGCCUUCGCUACUGCUACUCCGGCCUCUCCCCCGGUGGGACAGAGCCGCCAUGAAGGCCAUCAUACAGCGCGUCACGCGGGCCAGCGUCACAGUUGGAGAGGAGCAGAUUAGUUCCAUUGGACGGGGCAUUUGUGUGUUGCUGGGUAUUUCUAUGGAAGAUACACAGAAAGAACUGGAACACAUGGUUCGAAAGAUUUUAAACCUGAGAGUAUUUGAAGAUGAGAGUGGAAAACACUGGUCAAAAAGCGUGAUGGACAAACAGUAUGAAGUGUUGUGUGUUAGCCAGUUUACUCUUCAAUGUAUUCUGAAAGGGAACAAACCAGACUAUCAUAUGGCCAUGCCUACCGAGCAAGCGGAAACUUUCUACAAGAAUUUCCUUGAGCAACUUAGAAAGGCUUAUAAACCAGAGCUCAUUAAAGAUGGCAAAUUUGGAGCCUACAUGCAAGUACACAUCCAGAAUGAUGGACCUGUGACUAUAGAACUAGAGUCCCCAGCGACUGCCACUGCAGAUCCCAAGCAGCUUUCAAAGCUUGAAAAACAGCAACAGAGAAAAGAAAAGACCAGAGCAAAAGGACCUUCUGAGUCAAGUAAAGAAAGAAAUGUCUCUCGCAAGGAUGAUCCCAGUGCUAGCAGUGGGGCAGAGGGUGAUGUAUCCUCUGAAAGAGAACCAUGAUGAAGAAAAUACCAAUUUCAGCACAUCACCUUUGGGCAGAACUGGAACUUGAAGAGUUCACAGAAGAUAUGAAAUAUCUACACCUUGAAGAUGUGAACGAAAGGAUUUGGAAAGGGGAAAAAAGGGAGACAGAAAUUAGAAAUCUACAUCAUUCUGUGUUAAAAAAUCAACCAAAGGAAUGUUACCAUUUUCUGUUGUUACUGUGGCCUCAUAGUAAAAGACUAGCUCCUGGGGACAAACAUAUUGGUUUCACUCGGCAGAAGGACAGACGGGCUAAUUACCUGCAGAUGUGCUGUACUGAAAAGAGCAUUGGAUUGGAAAUCAGCAAACCUGAGUUUGAAUCCCAGAGCCACCAUUUAUGAGGGAAUAGGAGCAAAACAGGACUUCAAAUCUUCAGAGGUGAGAUAGAAAUGCCAAUUGGCUAAAUGGCAACUGAAAAUGGGAGCAUACUAAAAAAAGGAAAGGGAAAGAGGAAGACCUCUAUAUACAAAAAUGGAGGCAGAAAAGCUAGCAGUUUUCUUACUGUGAAAA